GAUGAACGCUGGCGGCGUGCCUAAUACAUGCAAGUCGAGCGAACGGACGAGAAGCUUGCUUCUCUGAUGUUAGCGGCGGACGGGUGAGUAACACGUGGAUAACCUACCUAUAAGACUGGGAUAACUUCGGGAAACCGGAGCUAAUACCGGAUAAUAUUUUGAACCGCAUGGUUCAAAAGUGAAAGACGGUCUUGCUGUCACUUAUAGAUGGAUCCGCGCUGCAUUAGCUAGUUGGUAAGGUAACGGCUUACCAAGGCAACGAUGCAUAGCCGACCUGAGAGGGUACUGGGCAAGAUGGGACAGGAGGCGGGGCCGAUACACCAGAGAGAGACGCAGAACGGGAAUAUACCGAUGAGGUGGAAGGCCGGACAAGGCACCGCCGCGGGAGUUAUGGAGGUCUCAGGUGCGAAAAACUGUUUGAUAAGAGAAAAACAUGUUUGGAAAAAACUGUGCACUGUUUGCAGGUCCCUAAGCAGAAACCCACGCAUAACGACGAC
rnacentral:rRNA from 1 species